AUUGAACGCUGGCGGCAUGCUUUACACAUGCAAGUCGAACGGUAACAGGCCGCAAGGUGCUGACGGGUGGCGGACGGGUGAGUAAUGCAUCGGAACGUGCCCAGUCGUGGGGGAUAACUACUCGAAAGAGUAGCUAAUACCGCAUACGAUCUAUGGAUGAAAGCGGGGGACCGUAAGGCCUCGCGCGAUUGGAGCGGCCGAUGUCAGAUUAGGUAGUUGGUGGGGUAAAGGCUCACCAAGCCAACGAUCUGUAGCUGGUCUGAGAGGACGACCAGCCACACUGGGACUGAGACACGGCCCAGACUCCUACGGGAGGCAGCAGUGGGGAAUUUUGGACAAUGGGCGCAAGCCUGAUCCAGCAAUGCCGCGUGCAGGAAGAAGGCCUUCGGGUUGUAAACUGCUUUUGUACGGAACGAAACGGCUCUGGUUAAUACCCGGGGCUAAUGACGGUACCGUAAGAAUAAGCGCCGGCUAACUACGUG
rnacentral:rRNA from 1 species